ensembl:lncRNA
AUAACAGCAUGUCUCGAAGUGUUUUUUUUUAACGGCUUAUACAAAUAUUCUGUUCAAUUCUACGUAUUAAACUGUGGAAGUUAGUGACCAGGAAAUGCUUCGUGUCGCUGUUUGGUCAGUAUUCUUACGAGAUUAAGAAUUUCUAUAAAUAUGUGUAUGUUUAAUUCGUCAUUUGUAUUUAUCGACGCGAAUAUGUAGCUCCUUUCGAUGGGUUAUACAUUUAUUCAAAUAGAUGUAAUACUUAAUUCAUGAAUACAAUGUUUGAAACAUGCACGUGCUGGUUAACUGUAAAAAUGGAUCAAAUGGAUUAAAAAUGGAAAUCUGGUCUCAGUAGUAACAAGACUGAUUACAUAACUUCAUGGUUGAUUUCAAACCAACCCUGAAGCCGGUGUAUAGCGGCUGAGAGAAUUUGGUGCGAGUUCUGUAGAGAAGUGUCAUCGUGCCACAGACGUUGUAGAAGGACAGGAUUCCUGCACGACUAUCGACAGUACACUCCUACUUUAGAAGGCGAUCGGACUUUGAGCUCAGUCUUCUUGUUCUUGUGACAGAAAUAGCAAGUGGAAGAAGAACACACCAGACUCCAGGACCGGUCGUUGAAUCCAAACCCACACUCUUUACCAUCUCCUGUCCUGCUGAUGUCUUUAUACGAGACUGAUAUUUCUAAAUAUCCCUCAUUGACCCGCUCCACCUCCCAGUAACAGCAAUCCCUGAGACUUUCAUUACACAACACCUGCCAGUAGUAGUCAAAUCUCUCUGAAGGCAUAGCUAAACCGCAGUAAUAUCUCUCUGAGGAACUGUAGAUAGCACGGCUGUUCCGUCUCACAGCCUGUGACGACGGUGUUUCUCUCAGACAGAAGGAGGUUACGAUGUGCUGUGUAUGGAUCCAGAGUCAGACGACAGAAAUCUAAAAACAAACAAACAGAAAAUUGAGCAUGUUACAUGUAACCAACAAAAUAUAACUUGCAUUUCUAUUGUAACAGCUAAACGUAUCACCAAGAGGGAAAUUUCGUUAUAGAUAAAUAAUGUGUUUUUGUGCUUAUGUUUUUUAUUUAUUUAUUUACGGUUCAUAAACUCGUCUCUGGUCCUU